UUAAGCGACUAAGCGUACACGGUGGAUGCCCUGGCAGUCAGAGGCGAUGAAGGACGUGCUAAUCUGCGAAAAGCGCCGGCGAGGUGAUAUGAACCCUUGACCCGGCGAUGUCCGAAUGGGGAAACCCAGUGCAAUCCGUUGCACUAUCGUUAACUGAAUACAUAGGUUAACGAGGCGAACCGGGGGAACUGAAACAUCUAAGUACCCCGAGGAAAAGAAAUCAACCGAGAUUCCCCCAGUAGCGGCGAGCGAACGGGGAGCAGCCCGGAGUCUGAAUCAGCUUGUGUGUUAGUGGAACGGUCUGGAAAGUCCGACGGUACAGGGUGAUAGUCCCGUACACGAAAGCACACAUGCUGUGAACUCGAAGAGUAGGGCGGGACACGUGGUAUCCUGUCUGAAUAUGGGGGGACCAUCCUCCAAGGCUAAAUACUCCUGACUGACCGAUAGUGAACCAGUACCGUGAGGGAAAGGCGAAAAGAACCCCGGCGAGGGGAGUGAAAAAGAACCUGAAACCGUGUACGUACAAGCAGUGGGAGCCUCUUUAUGGGGUGACUGCGUACCUUUUGUAUAAUGGGUCAGCGACUUAUAUUCUGUAGCAAGGUUAACCGUAUAGGGGAGCCGAAGGGAAACCGAGUCUUAACUGGGCGUUAAGUUGCAGGGUAUAGACCCGAAACCCGGUGAUCUAGCCAUGGGCAGGUUGAAGGUUGGGUAACACUAACUGGAGGACCGAACCGACUAAUGUUGAAAAAUUAGCGGAUGACCUGUGGCUGGGGGUGAAAGGCCAAUCAAACCGGGAGAUAGCUGGUUCUCCCCGAAAGCUAUUUAGGUAGCGCCUCGUGAACUCAUCUUCGGGGGUAGAGCACUGUUUCGGCUAGGGGGCCAUCCCGGCUUACCAACCCGAUGCAAACUACGAAUACCGAAGAAUGUUAUCACGGGAGACACACGGCGGGUGCUAACGUCCGUCGUGAAGAGGGAAACAACCCAGACCGCCAGCUAAGGUCCCAAAGUCAUGGUUAAGUGGGAAACGAUGUGGGAAGGCACAGACAGCCAGGAUGUUGGCUUAGAAGCAGCCAUCAUUUAAAGAAAGCGUAAUAGCUCACUGGUCGAGUCGGCCUGCGCGGAAGAUGUAACGGGGCUAAACCAUGCACCGAAGCUGCGGCAGCGACGCUUAUGCGUUGUUGGGUAGGGGAGCGUUCUGUAAGCCGUUGAAGGUGUGCUGUGAGGCAUGCUGGAGGUAUCAGAAGUGCGAAUGCUGACAUAAGUAACGAUAAAGCGGGUGAAAAGCCCGCUCGCCGGAAGACCAAGGGUUCCUGUCCAACGUUAAUCGGGGCAGGGUGAGUCGACCCCUAAGGCGAGGCCGAAAGGCGUAGUCGAUGGGAAACAGGUUAAUAUUCCUGUACUUGGUGUUACUGCGAAGGGGGGACGGAGAAGGCUAUGUCAGCCGGGCGACGGUUGUCCCGGUUUAAGCAUGUAGGCGGAGGUUCCAGGUAAAUCCGGUACCUUGUUAACGCUGAGGUGUGAUGACGAGGCACUACGGUGCUGAAGUGAUAAAUGCCCUGCUUCCAGGAAAAGCCUCUAAGCAUCAGGUAACACGAAAUCGUACCCCAAACCGACACAGGUGGUCAGGUAGAGAAUACCAAGGCGCUUGAGAGAACUCGGGUGAAGGAACUAGGCAAAAUGGUGCCGUAACUUCGGGAGAAGGCACGCUGAUGUGUAGGUGAAGCCCCUGCGGGUGGAGCUGAAAUCAGUCGAAGAUACCAGCUGGCUGCAACUGUUUAUUAAAAACACAGCACUGUGCAAACACGAAAGUGGACGUAUACGGUGUGACGCCUGCCCGGUGCCGGAAGGUUAAUUGAUGGGGUUAGCGGCAACGCGAAGCUCUUGAUCGAAGCCCCGGUAAACGGCGGCCGUAACUAUAACGGUCCUAAGGUAGCGAAAUUCCUUGUCGGGU
rnacentral:rRNA from 1 species